rnacentral:tRNA from 1 species
GCCUUGAGAAGCUAUAUAGCAUUGGUCUUGUAAACCAAAGAUAAGGAUUAAACUUCUCCAAGGCAC